CAUCAAUUUCCCUCGUAAUUACGAUAUCAAUUGGACAAGUCCGCAACACGCUUCUAGCGUUGUUGCAUUCGAUUUCCAAAAUUUGUUUGACUUCUUCGGUCGAAUACAAAGUCUUAUCCACCAAUUCACUCAAGAUCAAAACAGAGGAACUUAACCCCUGAAAAUACUUUUCGACGAUUCCACAAGGGUGAAUGCCAUCACCUAGGAUACAGGAAUAAGUUCGAGUCGCGCGCCUUACCGCGAUUACGAUUACACACGUCUUUUGAUGAACUUGACAUUGGAAACAAAAAAACCCAAGACUUUUCUAUGUACCGUAAGGAGGAUUACAAACCCCAACGGCAUCAAAAUUCGUCAUUUAUAUAUAUCGACAUUAGUGUUGCCACUACACGGUAAACCAAACAAAAAUAAAAUCAACACGAAAAUGGUUGAGGUAAGAUUUCUAGCUCACUGAAACUUCGAUCUUUUGAUCGAUACGCGAACAACGAAAAGAAUGUUUCUAAUUUUUCUAUUCUUUUUUAUUUCGAAUUUAUUUUUAAUUUCGCGAUUGACGUCCCCAAAUUGUUUCGUAUCGGUAAUCCCCUUCUGGUCAAAUAUUUAUAUCAACACGACACAUUUUUCCAUUUUUCGUGGAGAAACAAACCGAACAGCUGGCUACUGGGUGUUCUAAAUCGAACCAAAAAGAUGUACAUUAAUGUUGUAAAACCGUUUAAAAUGUGUGAAUAGGAUGUCGAAAGAAAAUAAAUAAUGCAAGUAUACAAUAAUAUCGUUAAUUUCUUUUUUGAUAUACAUAUACAUAUACAUGCAUGUCAUUAUAUACGUAGAGAAAAAUAUAUAAGACAUGAGAAUGAAAGGUCACCCAUGAUUUCACAGAUUUAUUCACGCAUGUAAUUCAUUGCACUGCCUUGAAGUAUUUCAGUCAGUCAGAAUGGGGAUGACAAAUUUGAUCCCUGGCUGCAGCAGCUUGCUUGUCAGACAACCAAUUAUUUUCAGAUUUCUUUUUUCUCGUCAACUUUUUUUCUUAGGUGUGUGUGUGUGUGUCGAUUUUUCUCUAAGUUAAAUGCCACUAGAUGGAAUAGAAAAUGAACAAAAUAACAUGAAGA